CCUGCUGAGGGCUGUGUUGACACUGGAAGGGAGGUGCGUUCUCUCCAUAAACCAGAUUUUAAUUUCCUUUGAAUCCAGUGCCCUGGGUUUUCUGGCAGUCUGAAUCGGGUUUCCUCCUCUGCCCACCAUUUCAGGGAUUGUUUUUUCAAUCAAGACGAAUCCAUUAGCGGCAAUAAUUUUAGUACUGUUCUCAGGGCACGAUCGAGGGACAUUUAGAUGUCUCUAUUUCAUAAUCCAUAAAAAGACAAAUUUUAAAAAUUCUCUAAACCAGUGCUUGGGCGAGAAACGCCCGCUUUCCCAUCCCCCAAUCUGGCUCGCCGCAGGGAACCCACAUGAGAUCAUCAGUUCUGAUUGGUUGAUAAACCACGGAUGGGGCUUGCUGAUUGGGCAGUAUUUCUCUUUGUUCCUGAAAACCCAGGCAAGUUUCGUCCUAUACUUGGUUCUUUUCUCUUUUUCUUUCAAGUUAGAAUAUCAUCCCUCGCCUACCCGUAUCGAAUGAAUAAAGGAAAGUGAGAAAAUACCCCAUCGACCUGAAGGAGUUACGGCCUAGAGUACAUUCGGCCUGCAAAAUGGAAAUGACUGCGAAGUCCUCCCGCACCGCCGCUGGGAACACAAAGUACGCCAGCCCCAGCGGCUCAGAGCAGUUGCUUUGGCGCAACAGGCGAUGGACUCCGCCCAAUAACUAGAUUCCGACAGCCUCUUCACAUCCCUACUCCCGCUCCCUCAAACUGAUGUUAAGCCCUCAAACUCAUGUGGCUGAAGAGAAUGAACUAGAAGAAUGAGAUGUGUUUUUCUAAGAUAGUCAUGUGUAAGAGAGAAGCAAGUGUGCUGCGGUGGAUCUGGGGGAGGAUGAAUCAGAAAUUCUGUUGUGAAGUUUUGCAGUUUGUAUGAGAUUACCAAAUGGACGAGGGAGUAAUCCACUGGGGUCAAAUGCUGCUGAUAGAGUGAAGUGAGUAGAAACCUGAAAAUGGUCCCCUGGCUUAGCAGUAUGAAGAUUACUGGUAGCUUUGACAAGAGUAGUUUUGGGGAGGAAGGAGUUGAAUUGAGGUAGAGCUAUAAAUUAGGAAGUCACUGGUAUACAGAUGUCAUUUAAAGCCAGGAGACUGAGUCAGGUCACCAAGGGGUGACUGAGGUAGAGAAGAAUAUAAAGGGGAAAGAACUGAAUCCUGAGGCAUCCAACAUCAAGGGCAGGGGAUAUCUGGCCCUGCCCGCAUUUAUCAUAGAUAAAUCUGGAUAAUUAUUAGACCUCUUUGUGCUUCCAUUUACUUAUUUAAAGGUAAAGGGGUUGGAUUAGAGAAGUGUUUUUCAUGGCCUGUUAGGAAUAGAAUAGACUAGAAUAUAUUAGAGUAUGCCAUAUUGUAAAGGAGAGGAGGGCUUCCUGGAGUUUAGGUUUCAUGCAUACACAUUGUUGGGCAUAUGUAUGCAUGUUCUAGGUCGUGAAGACCAUGUUUCUUAUUGGGGUCACAGUCAAAGAAGCCUGAAAAACAGAGGUCAAGAUGCUCCCUGUGGUCUUUUACAAUUCCAAGAGUCUAUUGUUUUAAUAGAUGUUCUGACCACAGAAUUAUAUUAGAUCUAACAUCUAUUUGAAAGUGUGAGAGACUUGAAAUCAAGAUCUCAGAGAUCUUCCUGAGACAAGCAGGUAACAGUAGUGACACAAACUCCAUUCUUUUUUUUCAGUUGAGAUAACAUUGGUUUAUAACACCAUAUAGGUUUCAGGCAUCGAACGUUAUAAUUCAACACCUGUAUUUACUAGCAUGUUCACCACCAAAAGUCUAGAUUCUGUUCUUUACUAAUUGUUCUGAUUGUUCCUGCUAGAGGGGCUUUUUGAAAAGAAAGGAAAAAGGGAGGAGCAGAGAAAAACACAGGUUAUGUGACUGCCAGGACUGAUUGAAGAUUAGUGGGGCCUCCUUAAAAAAUUACAGUCUACAAAUAAUGGGUUUUGCUAAGUAAAUUGUACAAUAAUCACACCUAG